UCGAUUCGGCAAUCUUCCUAUCAAACCAAAAUGGCGGGAGUAGCGGGUGCUGCAAGUAAUGGCAGAGAGAAAUGAAAUAGCCAGCAUAAAGACCAAAUUCGUUGCAAAUAAGACUGUUUGGCUUGUUCCAAGAAGAUCAUAUUCAGAACUCUUUAUGCAAACAGUAAAGGCGAAUAAGGAGCGGCUCAAAUUGUAAACCUGCAAGGAACAGAAGAUGAAUAGCACAUCAAGUCUUGACAUUGAGCAUUUUCUGGCACUGUGAUCCUGCGAAACGCAUUGACUUUUUCUAAAGCUGGGUAACAUGUCAUUAUAUCAGACAAAGAAAAGAAUGACUUGCCAGGCAGAUAUCACUUGAAGGAUCAUAGAAUUGUCUGCAAAUGACUACAGAAAGAUAUCACUUGGAAGCUCAAAGGAAUGUCUGCAAAUAACUACAGAAAGAUUUCACUUGGAAGCUCACAGUUAUUUUGACAAUUGACUACAGAAAGGUCAUGCUGAACAUCCAUCUGAUACGAAAUAUCGUGAGCUGAUAUAAUAACCAUAAUUACACACUAUCAAUUCAGUUAAAAUAAUAAUUUUUCUUAGAUAUACUGAUAGUUUGGUUCUAACAGUUUUCUACUUUAUCCA